rnacentral:tRNA from 1 species
GGGCCGGUAGAUCAGCCUGGUAUGAUCGCAGCGUUGGCAUCGCUGAGGUCGCGGGUUCAAAUCCCGCCCGGUCCACCA